rnacentral:rRNA from 1 species
UUAUAAGAGACAGCAGUCGCCGCGGUAAUACGAAGGGGGCUAGCGUUGUUCGGAUUUACUGGGCGUAAAGCGCACGUAGGCGGACUUUUAAGUCAGGGGUGAAAUCCCGGGGCUCAACCCCGGAACUGCCUUUGAUACUGGAAGUCUUGAGUAUGGUAGAGGUGAGUGGAAUUCCGAGUGUAGAGGUGAAAUUCGUAGAUAUUCGGAGGAACACCAGUGGCGAAGGCGGCUCACUGGACCAUUACUGACGCUGAGGUGCGAAAGCGUGGGGAGCAAACAGGAUUAGAUACCCGUGUAGUCCCUGUCUCUUAUAC